rnacentral:rRNA from 1 species
UACGAAGGGGGCUAGCGUUGCUCGGAAUCACUGGGCGUAAAGGGCGCGUAGGCGGCCUGCUAAGUCGAACGUGAAAUCCCUGGGCUCAACCCAGGAACUGCGUCCGAUACUGGUUGGCUUGAAUCCGGGAGAGGGACGUGGAAUUCCAGGUGUAGCGGUGAAAUGCGUAGAUAUCUGGAGGAACACCGGUGGCGAAGGCGACGUCCUGGACCGGCAUUGACGCUGAGGCGCGAAAGCCAGGGGAGCAAACGGG